rnacentral:rRNA from 1 species
AGCGAACGCUGGCGGCAGGCUUAACACAUGCAAGUCGAGCGGGCGUAGCAAUACGUCAGCGGCAGACGGGUGAGUAACGCGUGGGAACAUACCUUUUGGUUCGGAACAACUGAGGGAAACUUCAGCUAAAUACCGGAUAAGCCCUUACGGGGAAAGAUUUAUCGCCGAAAGAUUGGCCCCGCGUCUGAUUAGCUUGUUGGUGAGGUAACGGCUCACCAAGGCGACGAUCAGUAGCUGGCUGAGAGGAUGAUCAGCCACAUUGGGACUGAGACACGGCCCAAACUCCUACGGGAGGCAGCAGUGGGAAUAUUGGACAAUGGCGCAAGCCUGAUCCAGCCAUGCCGCGUGAGUGA